GAUGAACGCUGGCGGCGUGCCUAAUACAUGCAAGUCGAGCGAAUGGAUUAAGAGCUUGCUCUUAUGAAGUUAGCGGCGGACGGGUGAGUAACACGUGUGUAACCUGCCCAUAAGACUGGGAUAACUCCGGGAAACCGGGGCUAAUACAGGAUAACAUUUUGAACCGCAUGGUUCGAAAUUGAACGGCGGCUUCGGCUGUCACUUAUGGCUGGACCCCAGUCGCAUUAGCUAGUUGGUGAGGUAACGUCUCACCAAGGCAACGAUGCGUAGCCGACCUGAGAGGGUGAUCGGCCACACUGGGACUGAGACACGGCCCAGACUCCUACGGGAGGCAGCAGUAGGGAAUCUUCCGCAAUGGACGAAAGUCUGACGGAGCAACGCCGCGUGAGUGAUGAAGGCUUUCGGGUCGUAAAACUCUGUUGUUAGGGAAGAACAAGUGCUAGUUGAAUAAGCUGGCACCUUGACGGUACCUAACCAGAAAGCCACGGCUAACUACGUGCCAGCCGCCGCCGUAA
rnacentral:rRNA from 1 species